rnacentral:lncRNA from 1 species
UUUCCUGAAACCCUAAAUCCCAAAAUACCAAUUCUCCUUCAAUUGUUCUUCGUCGAUUCAUCAUUCUCAAUGGCCAGUCGGAGCUAGGGUUACACCGUGAACCCUUGAUGACGACGAAAUUGCAUGCUACAGAACAGACAAUCGAAGAUCUGAAGAGAAAAAGAUGACGGCGAAAAGGGUUUCUUCGUUGUGUUAAUUCAUUAAACCAUUGAUGUUUUUGGAUUCGUAAAUCAUUGGUGUUCUUCGAUUAACAGUCAGUUAGAUACAUGUUAGUGGCGGCUCGGCCAUGGUGAUUCUGAUAUAUCUCAUCUAUCGAUCUACACACUUCCACGUUUCACGAUUUUUUGUGAAGAAAUUUUCGGGUCUGGAGGAAGGAGAACGCAAGUGUCGAAUCAGGGAACGAAGAGUCGCUCAAAUGGGAUUAUAGGGUCUGGAGGAUGGUUAUCUUCUUUUUGUCUUCUUUUCCAUAUUGAUUUUUUAUGUGAGGUUUUCCAUGACGGUGACAUCCAGAACUGGAAGAGUGUUGUAGGAAUUGACUUUGGCCGCAAAUAGGGUGUUUAGCCCCUCUCUAAGCUUUUGGUUUUGACAAAUGGGUACCAUUUGAGAGUGUAAUUGUCUGUAAUGAUCUGAAAAGAGGAGGCAGACACUGAGGUUCAUGAUAUCCUUGAAUUGUAUAGACGUCUGCAUGAGGAAUACUUGGCUGUCCCUGUUGUGAAAAGGAGACUGAGUGAGUUGGAGAAAUUUGUCGGCAGCCUCUAUACCACUAGCGUUGAGGCCUUUAUUCCAAAUACAGGUCGAGGUGUACAAGGUGAAAUCUCACAUUGCUUGGGCCAGAAUUUCGCUAAAAUGUUCGAGAUUAACUUUGAAGAUGAAAAAGGAGAAUAGGCUAUGGUCUGGCAGAACUCGUGGGCAUAUAGUACCAGAACAAUUUGGGUGAAGGUGAUGGUUCAUGGUGAUGAUAAAAGCCUGGUGUUGCCCCCUAAAGUUGCAGCAAUACAAGUUAUCGUCGUGCAUGUGCCUUAUAAAGAUGCAGAGGUUAAGGAAAUAAUAAACGCACAAACGGAGUGAUUGCCGGUUGUAGCGCUAUUUGCUACACUUUGCACCAUUUAUCCGGGAAUUCUUCAUUUUAAGGCGGUUGAUUUGGGAUUUAUAUAAGGCAAAGGUACGUGAUACACAAUUUGAUUAAAAUCUAAAAUCCAUUGUUCUCUCCAGUCAUUCAAAGCUUAGAGCAUACCAGCAUCGUCGGGGUUACUUCGGAAGUCCUACUAUAUUAUGAUAUUUCAAAAAGAAGCCUUGAUCCUCUUGGUGCAGCAAUCAGCAGGGUAAUCAUUUUUUUGUGCAUACAGUUUUGUAGGUCUAUCGCAUCAGUCUAUAGCACCUCAAAAAAAGUUGAAACUUUAUCCCGCUCUGUUUGUUGUAACAGAAGAUGAAGACUGUUGGUUUCAAGUAGAAGGUUAUGUGCUUGCUAGAUUUGUGCGUUUACCAAUGAAUCAACGUAUCGACUCAAAUUUUAUAGGAUCGGCUUAUGAGAAAAGGCCCGAUUUUUUGUUACACUUUGGGCUCGAAAAUGGUUCUGCCGCCUCUACUUCUUACGAUGUUGAGACAAGUGGAGGGUUAUCCAAGUCGGUUUGAUUUUACUCUCCUCUACAUAAUCAGGUCAAACGGCACGUGAUGGCCCGUAUGAGGUUCAACUGUCUAUACCAGUGGAGGGUUAUGAGUUUGAUAUACUCAUGCUCUCUUGGUGAUGGUAAGUUAAUGGGUUAAUACUGGUCUAUAAUGGAUUUGGUUGAACGACUUCUUUGUCCGAAUUUUUAGAAUUUUGUAUAAAUAUAUAAGGUUACAAAUAUGACUACAAAAGUUACCUUAUCUCACUAAUAAUCUAAUCAAUAAUCUAAAUCUUUUGAAUAAAAUAGUUUAGGAGGUUUAUAUAUUGAUUUGUUAUUGUUUCUAUGUGUUUGUGGAAUCUUAAAUAAGUAUGAAGACUAUGACUUUGCUGGGACGGGAAGUAUUGCUACAGAAACGGGGUAUUUUGGGCAGUUAAAAAUUGGGGCAAGAUGAGAUAGGGGUAUUAUGAGUAUUUUUUCAGGACUAUGGGCACUAGACAGAAAAUGGGAUAUGCUAUUAUGAUUAAGAUGGUAUAGUGUUUGUUUAGAAAGUUCAGAGUUUGAUCAGAGACUGUGGCAUUAUUGUGAAAUUUAUAAAUAUGUUACGUACUAGGAUUAAAUAGAAACAAGGGCAUUUUGGAAAUUGUUUGUGGAAGCUGCUUUAUCUCGAAACUACAUCUGAUGGUGCAGCUUUAAAGUGGCCUAAUGUGUUUUGGGAAAGUAUGUGGCAUGUUCAAGAUAUUAUACAGGUGUGUUUAAAGAAUAUUAUUGUGAUAGAAAUUACUGGGUAUUGCUUAUGGUAGUGUUGUGAUAGAAACUCAGGUCUAACAUGCACCAUUGGUGAUGGUAAGCUAUGAUUUUUAGUGUUGAUAAUAAAUGGUUUUUAUGCAUUGU